GCCGUUCCUUGUCUAUGUUCCUUGGAACAGGACGUCAUAGAGGGUGAGAAUCCCGUGUGGCGAGGAGUGCGGUUCUUUGUAAAGUGCCUUCGAAGAGUCGAGUUGUUUGGGAAUGCAGCUCUAAGUGGGUGGUAAAUUCCAUCUAAAGCUAAAUAUUGGCGAGAGACCGAUAGCGAACAAGUACAGUGAUGGAAAGAUGAAAAGAACUUUGAAAAGAGAGUGAAAAAGUACGUGAAAUUGUUGAAAGGGAAGGGCAUUUGAUCAGACAUGGUGUUUUGUGCCCUCUGCUCCUUGUGGGUAGGGGAAUCUCGCAUUUCACUGGGCCAGCAUCAGUUUUGGUGGCAGGAUAAAUCCAUAGGAAUGUAGCUUGCCUCGGUAAGUAUUAUAGCCUGUGGGAAUACUGCCAGCUGGGACUGAGGACUGCGACGUAAGUCAAGGAUGCUGGCAUAAUGGUUAUAUGCCGCCCGUCUUGAAACACGGACCAAGGAGUCUAACGUCUAUGCGAGUGUUUGGGUGUAAAACCCAUACGCGUAAUGAAAGUGAACGUAGGUUGGGGCCUCGCAAGAGGUGCACAAUCGACCGAUCCUGAUGUCUU
rnacentral:rRNA from 1 species